GGGAGUUUCUUGGCUGGUACCGCUGAGGCUUUUGGUGCCUAAGAAGUUCAGAUAAAUAUGGCAGCAGUACAUCAAAAAAAAGAUAUUGAGGAAUCCAUAAAAUGUAAUGACGCAAAAUCAAGAGUAUAAUUUGAUUCAGCAUCUCAGUAUGUUGAGUACCCAUGCUCCCAUUUACCAGCCUCAAGCAGAUGAGUACAAUGGUUCAGCCAAAGUCCUGAUUCUUUUCCUGUGGUUGGAUGCCCAGAUAUACCAUCACAACAUAGACACAUGGUUAUAAGAUGUAAAGAGG